rnacentral:rRNA from 1 species
CAGGACGAACGCUGGCGGCGUGCCUAACACAUGCAAGUUGAGCGGAGAUAUAUGGAGCUUGCUUUAUAUAACUUAGCAGCGAACGGGUGAGUAACACGUAGAUAAUCUAUCCUAUACUGGGGGAUAGCCCGAUGAAAGUUGGAUUAAUACCGCAUAUAGCUAUAUAGUUGCAUGAUUAUGUAGUGAAAGAUUUAUUGGUAUAGGAGGAGUCUGCGGCACAUUAGCUAGUAGGUGAGGUAAAGGCUUACCUAGGCGACGAUGUGUAGCCGGUCUGAGAGGAUGAACGGCCACAAUGGAACUGAGACACGGUCCAUACUCCUACGGGAGGCAGCAGUGGGGAAUAUUGCACAAUGGGGGAAACCCUGAUGCAGCAACGCCGCGUGAGUGAAGAAGGUUUUCGGAUUGUAAAGCUCUGUUAGCAGGGAAGAGGAAGGACGGUACCUGCAGAGGAAGCCACGGCUAACUACGUGCCAGCAGCCGCGGUAAUACGUAGGUGGCAAGCGUUGUUCG